rnacentral:rRNA from 1 species
CCUACGGGUGGCAGCAGUGGGGGAUAUUGCACAAUGGGGGAAACCCUGAUGCAGCGACGCCGCGUGUGGGAAGACGGUCCUCUGGAUUGUAAACCACUGUCCCCAGGGACGAAGAUGACGGUACCUGGGGAGGAAGCUCCGGCAAACUACGUGCCAGCAGCCGCGGUAAUACGUAGGGAGCGAGCGUUGUCCGGAAUUACUGGGUGAAAAGGGAGCGUAGGCGGGACGGCAAGUUGGGUGUCAAAUCUACCGGCUCAACCGGUAGCCGCACUCAAAACUGCAGUUCUUGAGUGAAGGAGAGGCAGGCGGAAUUCCUAGUGUAGCGGUGAAAUGCAUAGAUAUCGCGCAGAACUCCGAUUGCGAAGGCAGCAUGCCGGCUCCACACUGACGCUGAGGCACGAAAGCGUGGGUAUCGAACAGGAUUAGAUACCCUUGUAGUC